rnacentral:rRNA from 1 species
GACGGGGGGGGCAAGUGUUCUUCGGAAUGACUGGGCGUAAAGGGCACGUAGGCGGUGAAUCGGGUUGAAAGUGAAAGUCGCCAAAAACUGGCGGAAUGCUCUCGAAACCAAUUCACUUGGGUGAGACAGAGGAGAGUGGAAUUUCGUGUGUAGGGGUGAAAUCCGCAAAUCUACGAAGGAAGGCCAAAAGCGAAGGCAGCUCUCUGGGUCCCUACUGACACUGAGGUGCGAAAGCGUGGGGAGCAAACAGG